rnacentral:rRNA from 1 species
UACGUAGGGGGCGAGCGUUGUCCGGAUUCAUUGGGCGUAAAGAGCUCGUAGGCGGCUUGGCAAGUCGGAUGUGAAAACUCCAGGCUCAACCUGGAGCCGCCAUUCGAUACUGCCAUGGCUAGAGUCCGGUAGGGGAGUGUGGAAUUCCCGGUGUAGCGGUGAAAAUGCGCAGAUAUCGGGAGGAACACCGAUGGCGAAGGCAGCACUCUGGGCCGGUACUGACGCUGAGGAGCGAAAGCGUGGGGAGCGAACAGG